rnacentral:rRNA from 1 species
CACGUAGGGUCCGAGCGUUGUUCGGAUUCACUGGGCGUAAAGGGUGCGUAGGCGGUCGGGUAAGUCUGAUGUGAAAUCUCACAGCUUAACUGUGAAACUGCAUUGGAUACUAUUCGGCUUGAGAGUUGGAGGGGGGACUGGAAUUCUUGGUGUAGCAGUGAAAUGCGUAGAUAUCAAGAGGAACACCAGUGGCGAAGGCGAGUCCCUGGACAACUUCUGACGCUGAGGCACGAAAGCUAGGGGAGCAAACAGG